rnacentral:rRNA from 1 species
AUUGAACGCUGGCGGCAGGCCUAACACAUGCAAGUCGAGCGGUUGACGGGAGCUUGCUCCCUGAUUCAGCGGCGGACGGGUGAGUAAUGCCUAGGAAUCUGCCUAUUAGUGGGGGACAACGUUUCGAAAAGAACGCUAAUACCGCAUACGUCCUACGGGAGAAAGCAGGGGACCUUCGGGCCUUGCGCUAAUAGAUGAGCCUAGGUCGGAUUAGCUUGUUGGUGAGGUAAUGGCUCACCAAGGCGACGAUCCGUAAAUGGUCUGAGAGGAUGAUGCGUCACACUGGAACUGAGACACGGUCCAGACUCCUACGGGAGGCAGCAGUGGGGAAUAUUGGACAAUGGGCGAAAGCCUGAUCCAGCCAUGCCGCGUGUGUGAAGAAGGCCUUCGGAUUGUAAAGCACUUUAAGUUGGGAGGAAGGGUUGUAGAUUAAUACUCUGCAAUUUUGACGUUACCGACAGAAUAAGCACCGGCUAACUCCGUGCCAGCAGCCGCCGUAAUAC